rnacentral:rRNA from 1 species
AUCAGCUUGUUGGUGAGGUAAUGGCUUACCAAGGCUACGACGGGUAGCGGGACUGAGAGGUUGGCCCGCCACAUCGGGACUGAGACACUGCCCGGAGCUCCACGGAGGGCUGCAGUAACGGAUAUUGGGCAAUGGGCGAAAGCCUGACCCAGCAAUGCCGCGUGCAGGAUGAAGCCCCUCGGGGUGUAAACUGCUGUCAGGGGCAAGAAAGUCUUCGGAUUGAUCAGCCCCAAAGGAAGUCACGGCUAACUUCGUGCCAGCAGCCGCGGUAAUACGAAGGUGGCGAGCGUUAUUCGGAAUCAUUGGGCUUAAAGGGCACGCAGGCGGGAUAGCAAGUGUCAAGUGAAAUCCCCCGGCUUAACCGGGGAAUUGCUUGACAAACUGCUGUCCUUGAGACAGGCAGGGGUGCAUGGAACUCUUGGUGGAGCGGUGGAAUGCGUAGAUAUCAAGAGGAACGCCGGAGGUGAAGACGGUGCACUGGGCCUGUUCUGACGCUGAGGUGCGAAAGCGUGGGGAGCAAACGGGAUUAGAUACCCCGGUAGUCCACGCCGUAAACGAUGCCUACUAGGUUGUGGGAGUUCUGACGCUCUCACAGCCGCAGCAAAAGUGUUAAGUAGGCCGCCUGGGGAGUACGGCCGCAAGGUUAAUACUCAAAGGAAUUGACGGGGGCUCACACAAGCGGUGGAGCAUGUGGAUUAAUUCGAAGCAACGCGCAGAACCUUACCUGGGUUUGACAUGCUUGGAUGCCUGCCUGGAAACAGGUUAGGCUGCCCUUCGGGGUGAAACUUGCACAGGUGCUGCAUGGCUGUCGUCAGCUCGUGUCGUGAGAUGUCGGGUUAAGUCCUUUAACGAGCGAAACCCUUGCCGUUAGUUGCCAGCGGGUCAUGCCGGGGACUCUAACGGGACUGCCGGUGUUAAACCGGAGGAAGGUGGGGAUGACGUCAAGUCCUCAUGGCCUUUAUGCCCAGGGCUUCACACGUGCUACAAUGGCAGGUACAGAGGGAUGCGAGACCGCAAGGUGGAGCGAAGCCCAAAAAACCUGCCUCAGUUCGGAUUGCAGGCUGUCAAUUCGCCUGCAUGAAGUUGGAAUCGCUAGUAAUCGCGUAUCAGCUAC